UCGGGAAUUUUGGGCAAUGGGCGCAAGCCUGAUCCAGCCAUGCCGCGUGAGUGAAGAAGGCCUUCGGGUUGUAAAGCUCUUUCGGCGGGGACGAAACGGUUCGUGACAACACCACGGACUAAUGACGGUACCCGCAUAAGAAGCACCGGCUAACUACGUGCCAGCAGCCGCGGUAAUACGUAGGGUGCAGGCGUUAAUCGGAAUUACUGGGCGUAAAGCGUGCGCAGGCGGUUUGUUAAGACAGGUGUGAAAUCCCCGGGCUUAACCUGGGAAUUGCGCUUGUAACUGGCAGGCUAGAGUGUGGCAGAGGGGGGUGGAAUUCCACGUGUAGCAGUGAAAUGCGUAGAUAUGUGGAGGAACACCGAUGGCGAAGGCAGCCCCCUGGGUUAACACUGACGCUCAUGCACGAAAGCGUGGGGAGCAAACAGGAUUAGAUACCCCCGUAGUCCCUGAGCGGGCUGGCAAGGCGCAU
rnacentral:rRNA from 1 species